rnacentral:rRNA from 1 species
CCCUUAGAUGUUCUGGGCCGCACGCGCGCUACACUGAUGCAUUCAACGAGUUCCUACCUUGGCCGAGAGGCCUGGGCAAUCUUUUGAACUUGCAUCGUGAUAGGGAUAGAUUAUUGCAAUUAUUAAUCUUGAACGAGGAAUUCCUAGUAAACGCAGAUCAUCAAUCUGCAUUGAUUACGUCCCUGCCCUUUGUACACACCGCCCGUCGCACCUACCGAUUGAAUGGUCCGGUGAAGCCUCGGGAUUGUGGUUAGUUUCCUUCAUUGGAAGUUAGCCGCGAGGACUUGUCUAAACCUUAUCAUUUAGAGGAAGGUGAAGUCGUAACA